rnacentral:rRNA from 1 species
CCUACGGGUGGCAGCAGUGGGGAAUAUUGGGCAAUGGGCGCAAGCCUGACCCAGCAACGCCGCGUGAAGGAAGACGGCUUUCGGGUUGUAAACUUCUUUUGUCAGGGAAGAGUAGAAGACGGUACCUGACGAAUAAGCCACGGCUAACUACGUGCCAGCAGCCGCGGUAAUACGUAGGUGGCAAGCGUUGUCCGGAUUUACUGGGUGUAAAGGGCGUGUAGCCGGGUUGACAAGUCAGAUGUGAAAUCCUGCGGCUUAACCGCAGAACUGCAUUUGAAACUGUUGAUCUUGAGUACUGGAGAGGCAGACGGAAUGCCUGGUGUAGCGGUGAAAUGCGUAGAUAUUAGGAGGAACACCAGUGGCGAAGGCGGCUUACUGGACUGUAACUGACGUUGAGGCACGAAAGCGUGGGGAGCAAACAGGAUUAGAUACCCCAGUAGUC